GAUGAACGCUGGCGGCGUGCCUAACACAUGCAAGUCGAGCGAUUCUCUUCGGAGAAGAGCGGCGGACGGGUGAGUAACGCGUGGGUAACCUGCCCUGUACACACGGAUAACAUACCGAAAGGCAUGCUAAUACGGGAUAAUAUGCUUUAGUCGCAUGGCUGAAGUAUCCAAGCACCGGCGGUACAGGAUGGACCCGCGUCUGAUUAGCUAGUUGGUAAGGUAACGGCUUACCAAGGCGACGAUCAGUAGCCGACCUGAGAGGGUGAUCGGCCACAUUGGAACUGAGACACGGUCCAAACUCCUACGGGAGGCAGCAGUGGGGAAUAUUGCACAAUGGGCGAAAGCCUGAUGCAGCAACGCCGCGUGAGCGAUGAAGGCCUUCGGGUCGUAAAGCUCUGUCCUCAAGGAAGAUAAUGACGGUACUUGAGGAGGAAGCCCCGGCUAACUACGUGCCAGCAGCCGCAGUAA
rnacentral:rRNA from 1 species